UACGUAGGGGGCGAGCGUUGUCCGGAGUUACUGGGCGUAAAGGGCACGCAGGCGGUCCCUUCAGUUUGAAGUGACAGUUGGUGGCUUAACUGCCAAAGGGCUUCGAAUACUGGGGGACUUGAGAGCUUCAGAGGGACUCGGAAUUCCGGGUGGAGUGGUGAAAUGCGUAGAGAUCCGGAGGAACACCAAAGGCGAAGGCAGAGUCCUGGGAAGCAUCUGACGCUCAGGUGCGAAAGCCAGGGGAGCGAACGGG
rnacentral:rRNA from 1 species